rnacentral:rRNA from 1 species
CAGUAGCCACGGUAAUACAGAGGGUGCGAGCGUUAAUCGGAUUUACUGGGCGUAAAGCGUGCGUAGGCGGCUUUUUAAGUCGGAUGUGAAAUCCCUGAGCUUAACUUAGGAAUUGCAUUCGAUACUGGGAAGCUAGAGUAUGGGAGAGGAUGGUAGAAUUCCAGGUGUAGCGGUGAAAUGCGUAGAGAUCUGGAGGAAUACCGAUGGCGAAGGCAGCCAUCUGGCCUAAUACUGACGCUGAGGUACGAAAGCAUGGGGAGCAAACAGGAUUAUAUACCCCCGUAGUCCCUGUCUCUUAUAC